CCUACGGGAGGCUGCAGUGAGGAAUAUUGGUCAAUGGACGAGAGUCUGAACCAGCCAAGUAGCGUGAAGGAUGACUGCCCUAUGGGUUGUAAACUUCUUUUAUAUGGGAAUAAAAUGUUCCACGUGUGGAAUUUUGUAUGUACCAUAGGAAUAAGGAUCAGCUAACUCCGUGCCAGCAGCCGCGGUAAUACGGAGGAUCCGAGCGUUAUCCGGAUUUAUUGGGGUUAAAGGGAGCGUAGGUGGAUUGUUAAGUCAGUUGUGAAAGUUUGCGGCUCAACCGUAAAACUGCAGUUGAAACGGGCAGUCUUGAGUACAGUAGAGGUGGGCGGAAUUCGUGGUGUAGCGGUGAAAUGCUUAGAUAUCACGAAGAACUCCGAUUGCGAAGGCAGUUCACUGGACUGCAACUGACACUGAGGCUCGAAAGUGUGGGUAUCAAACAGGAUUAGAUACCCCUGUAGUC
rnacentral:rRNA from 1 species